GAAGAACAUCCCCCUGGUGUGACUGGUUCAUAUUCCUCUUAAGGCCACUGGGGAUACCGCCAUUGAUUUCCACUUCAAUAACUUGACCCCUGACCUCCAGAAGGGACGUGACAUCCCUCAGCUGACUAUUCACAGCCAGAUGGACUCCCUGUCUGUAAUGAAGUCCGGACCACAAGGAGGGAGGCUGUCAGCCACAGGGAUCACCCAGCUCUGCAAUCUUUGAAAAUUGUGUUAGCGCACACGGAAGUCAAGAUCAGUGCAGAAUACAGAGGUUGGGCUGUAUAACGCAUCAAUCAAUAUUGUCCUAAUUAUGCAGAGCUCAGAUAGCUCUGCUAUU